rnacentral:rRNA from 1 species
UACGUAGGGGGCGAGCGUUGUCCGGAUUUACUGGGCGUAAAGAGCGCGUAGGCGGAAAUUUAAGCGUGGCCUGAAAGCCCCCGGCUCAACCGGGGAGUGCGGCUGCGAACUGGGUUUCUUGAGGACGAUAGAGGAGAGUGGAAUUCCUGGUGUAGCGGUGAAAUGCGUAGAUAUCAGGAGGAACACCGGUGGCGAAGGCGGAUCUCUGGGCCUUACCUGACGCUGAGGCGCGAAAGCGUGGGGAGCGAACAGG